AAUAGAUACCCUGGUAGUCCACGCCCUAAACGAUGAUAACUCGAUGUUUGCGAUACACAGUAAGCGUCUUAGCGAAAGCGUUAAGUUAUCCACCUGGGGAGUACGGUCGCAAGAUUGAAACUCAAAGGAAUUGACGGGGGCCCGCACAAGCGGAGGAGCAUGUGGUUUUAAUUCGAUGAUACGCGAGGAACCUUACCCGGGCUUGAAAGUUAGUGAAUGAGACAGAGACGUCUCAGUCCUUCGGGACACGAAACUAGGUGCUGCAUGGCCGUCGUCAGCUCGUGCCGUGAGGUGUUGGGUUAAGUCCGCAACGAGCGCAACCCUAUGUUUAGUUGCCAGCACGUCAUGGUGGGGACUCUAAACAGACUGCCUGUGCAAACAGAGAGGAAGGUGGGGACGACGUCAAGUCAUCAUGGCCCUUACGUCCGGGGCUACACACGUGCUACAAUGGAUGGUACAGCGGGCAGCUACAUAGCAAUAUGAUGCUAAUCUCUAAAACGCCAUUCACAGUUCGGAUUG
rnacentral:rRNA from 1 species